AUGUUUCACACCAGCUGCUCUUACCUUCCUCCCUGGGCACCUCUUGGAGGCUGCUGGAAGAGGAAAACACAGGAUCUCCCAGGGAGCCUGCUGAGGCCUCCUCUUCACUGGUUUUCUUUUCACCAGGAUGAAAUUCUGCUGACUCCCUGCAGGGAAUCCCCUGCUGAGGACACAGACUCCUUUGCCUCCCCGGUAAGCUCUGCUCCUUCUGCAUCUGCAGCUCAGAGAGGGGACAAAUCCCCAUUUCCCCUGCUCAUUCCCAACUCCCCUCUACACAGCCACAAUGGGGUCCAAACCUCUGAGAAGCUGGAGCUGGAAAGGAGAGCUCUCAGCUUUCCAUUCCUAAUAAUUCCCUGCUGGUUUUGUGGGCAGAAUGAAGAGAAGUGGGAUUUUGUCCUGGUGAGUGACAUCCACGAAAUGGGCAGUGAGAAGGAGAUCAAGAGAAAGAAGUUCCUGGAUGAGCUGAGCAAGAAGGGUUUCACCAUCAAGAAAAUCGAGGACACAAAGCUCUUUUAUGGAGUCCGUGCCCCGCCGCACAUCUUCUGGAAAUACCAGCGUCUCCUGACGAACCCCAACAGCAGGCAGCAAAACUCCAGUGCCUACCAGGACGUCCCAAUGACCACCAGGAUACGGGUCGUGCAUUUCAUCCUGCAGAACACUGUGACAUCCGACUUAGGUAAGGGAACGGGGAUCACAGGGGUGAUGCUGCUCAGCCUGGAUCUGCAGGAAGAAUUCUGCCCAAUCCUGGGCACUGGCAUCCCAGCUGCCUUGCCAUCCUGGGGGGAG
rnacentral:lncRNA from 1 species